AGCGGACGCUGGCGGCAGGCUUAACACAUGCAAGUCGAACGGGCAUAGCAAUAUGUCAGUGGCAGACGGGUGCGUAACGCGUGGGAACGUACCUUUUGGUUCGGAACAACACAGGGAAACUUGUGCUAAUACCGGAUAAGCCCUUACGGGGAAAGAUUUAUCGCCGAAAGAUCGGCCCGCGUCUGAUUAGCUAGUUGGUAGGGUAAUGGCCUACCAAGGCGACGAUCAGUAGCUGGUCUGAGAGGAUGAUCAGCCACAUUGGGACUGAGACACGGCCCAAACUCCUACGGGAGGCAGCAGUGGGGAAUAUUGGGCAAUGGGCGAAAGCCUGAUCCAGCCAUGCCGCGUGAGUGAUGAAGGCCCUAGGGUUGUAAAGCUCUUUUGUGCGGGAAGAUAAUGACGGUACCGCAAGAAUAAGCCCCGGCUAACUUCGUG
rnacentral:rRNA from 1 species